GAAAAGGUUAUGUCCCAGUUCUGGUGGGGAAAGAAAUGGGAGACAUGCAGAAGCUAUGGAUACCCAUCAAGCUCCUCAGCCAUCCAAGAAUUGUUGCACUUCUCAGAAGGUCAGCCCAUGAAUUUGGGUUUCAACAACAAGGCUUGCUUAAGAUUAAGCAUGAUGUUCAUCUUUUUAAAGGAGGAGCUCGUUAAGAAAACUAAGAAGUAGAACAGCAAGUCAUGAGGACAAAGGCAGCCAAAAUUGAGAGAGUGAGGAGUGGUUUCAGGAUAUGCAGGCCACAAGGGUCCUUUCUGUGGCCAAACAUGGGCAUCUCUACCCCACCCUGAGCCUCCUCAUCCUCAUCCCUGUACCUUCUCAGCCUGGGUCUCCUGUCAAGCCUGCCUGUAGCUGAGAGGCUUUAUGCAAUGUGAGCUAUAAACCCUCUGCCUCUGCUCUCCUAUUUUUCUUCCACCUGGGGCCCCCCUCCAAUUCCAAGAGAAGUGUCACCGUCACCAACACACUCCUCAUCAACCUAACCCUAAUGAGCUCCCCAACCCUAACCCUAAUAACCUCCAAAACACCUCUGAAACUAGCACUGCAUUGUCUAGGAGACUAGGACACUCACCUACCAGAGAAGACACCAUCGUCAUCAAUAUCCGCGUAUGUUGAAGGCUAAGACAGAGGAUGGGGAAGAUGGAAAUGCAAGCAAUGAGUCUUCUCAGCAGUAGCAGCAGC